UUCGCUUCGGUUGCACUUUCACGACAGCAGGCAAAGAAAGACUUUUCGUACUUGGAAACUUAAGGUUUUCGUGUAAUUCUGCACAUGUGAAAUUUCGUGGUGUCGCCUAUACGUUUAGAAAGCUAUUAUGCAAGUACUUUUAUAUCUGCCGUUAAUCCAAGCUAUUUAAAAUUUGAGUGAGCACUCCAGUUCAGAAAUAUGAGCAUUGUGAACUUCUUGAAAAUGCCAAUUAAAGCUUUUUUUCUCUCUCUGUUUCUCUGUGCAUAAAAGAAAAGACAGACUCGCAAGUACCUCUGUAUCUUAUACAAUCAGGAAGGGCCACGUCUCUUUACAAAUGAACGUCCAAGCAAACAAACAAAAAAGAAAGCAUCGACAAAUAAAUUCACUUACACGCAGUUACCAGCCCACCUUUGCCCCAUUUGAUUUGAUAUCAGCCCAUGUUUCUGGAAAUAAAUUUCCAGUGAAACUACCCGUAAACACAGAAAAUGGCUUAGAGGUAGCGUAAAAUAAAUAGCUUUGAAAGUAAUACACACACAUAGUUUAAAAGAAUAUUUGUUUUUAUGCCUUGAAAACGAAACCGAAAUUGAAAUAACUUCCCCCGACGGGUGUCGCCGCUAUCGCCGCUACGUCAUUUCCUGCGUCUCGCGGCGGGCCGCCGGGAGCACAUGUGUGUGUUCUCCGUGACAUUCUUGAAGUUGUGAGUAAUUAGAUUGUUUUUUGCUGCGUUUAGGUUGUACCACCUCGUUGUUUUCGUGUACUUUUGUGCUCAUCGACGCGAAGUGAGCGUCCGGAGUGAAGGCGACGCGAUUAUGCGUGAGAAAGAAGGGCACCAGCGGCCUACGACAUCGGUGUUUCUUUGUGACAGUGUGUUUACUACGCCUACGACGGCCGUCAUUCGUGGCGAAGGAGAAAACAUCUUCCAUUCGGCCUGAACAGUGAUGAAGUGGACGUUUUGUUUUUCGGCGGAAUGCAUCGUCAACAUGGUCCAUCCACUACGUAAACGAAACGGCGUGCCCAGAGUACAGAUCGUGACAGCGCUCCGCCUUCAAACCGAGGGCCUUUUGCAAGGCGCAUGAACUGCUCAUAUAAAAGUUGCAGUCAGCAUGAAGCAAUUGCAUGGGAACCGACUGGCUGUCUUGGGCCUACACGUUGCUGAAAAGACAGUGAAGACGUCUGACCCGACAGGUAGAAAAGAAGCAGAUGGCUACAGUGAUCAAUGAAGAAAUGGCUUCAUCUAUGAUGGCUCGCCUUAGGACAUUGGAAUGGAGCUACACAAAGGCAUCAUCAUCCUCGCCUGUGCCCUGGAACUUUGGUUUGAAUGAGACUGUUCUUCAAUGUAGAACGGCCGCAAGACUUGUCACCACAAGGCAUAGUGCAAGCUCACAAUAUUGUACAGGAGGCUAGAAUAAAUGACCCUCCAUGCAGUCACUCUGUAUCUGUGAUAAAUGGGACCAUUUCACGCAGAACACUCACAAGUGAUAAUGUGUUUUCUCUCAAAGUUGCUAUGCAGUGCGUUUGUAAACACAUUACCUAUUGUAUGCACACCAUACAUAACAUUUCUGUGUGCUAGCCUAACUGUAGACUUAGAAACAAACAAUGAAGUGCAUAUGUACCCGCUUCCACAUGCCGUACUUCAAGGGCUAUUAUAUUGCUCAUUACACCCGAUAGGUGAAGGGGUAAUAUAUUCCUGAUCACACCCUUACACCCCAUGGGUCGAAGGGUAAUAUGU